GACGAACGCUGGCGGCGUGCCUAACACAUGCAAGUCGAGCGGAGACAGUGAGUAGCUUGCUACGAGCUGUUUUAGCGGCGGACGGGUGAGUAACGCGUGAGCAACCUUUCCCAGACAGGGGAAUAACACACCGAAAGGUGUACUAAUACCGCAUAAGACCACGGGAUCACAUGGUUCUGGGGUAAAAAGAAUUAUCGGUUUGGGGUGGGCUCGCGUCCGAAUUAGGUAGUUGGUCGAGGUAACGGCCCACCAAAGCCGACGAUCGGUAGCCGACCUGAGAGGGUGAUCGGCCACAUUGGGACUGAGACACGGCCCAAAAUCCUACGGGAGGCAGCAGUGGGGAAUAUUGGGCAAAUGGAGGAAAACUCUGACCCCAGC
rnacentral:rRNA from 1 species